rnacentral:rRNA from 1 species
AUUGAACGCUGGCGGCAGGCCUAACACAUGCAAGUCGAACGGUAGCACAGAGAGCUUGCUCUCGGGUGACGAGUGGCGGACGGGUGAGUAAUGUCUGGGAAACUGCCCGAUGGAGGGGGAUAACUACUGGAAACGGUAGCUAAUACCGCAUAACGUCGCAAGACCAAAGUGGGGGACCUUCGGGCCUCACACCAUCGGAUGUGCCCAGAUGGGAUUAGCUAGUAGGUGGGGUAAUGGCUCACCUAGGCGACGAUCCCUAGCUGGUCUGAGAGGAUGACCAGCCACACUGGAACUGGCACACGGUCCAGGCUCCUACGGGAUGGAGCAGUAGGUAAUAUAGUACGAUGGGUGCAAGACUGAUGCAGCCAUGCCGCGUGUAUGAAGAAGGCCUUCGGGUUGUAAAGUACUUUCAGCGGGGAGGAAGGCGGUGGAGUUAAUAACUUCACCGAUUGACGUUACCCGCAGAAGAAGCACCGGCUAACUCCGUGCCAGCCGCCGCCGUAA